GGAGGGGCGCGAGCGUUGUCCGGAAUUACUGGGCGUAAAGGGGGGCGCAGGCGGCUUGGCAAGUCUUGUGUGAAAGGGCCACGGGCUCAACCGUGGACAUGCACUAGAUACUACCCGAGCUUGAGACGGGUAGAGGCGAGUGGAAUUCCCGGUGUAGCGGUGGAAUGCGUAGAUAUCGGGAAGAACACCAGUGGCGAAGGCGACUCGCUGGGCCCGUUCUGACGCUCAGGCCCGAAAGCGUGGGGAGCAAACAGGAUUAGAUACCCUGGUAGUCCACGCCGUAAACGAUGGGCACUAGGUGCUGGGGAGUGUGACCUUUUCAGUGCCGUAGCUAACGCGUUAAGUGCCCCGCCUGGGGAGUACGGCCGCAAGGCUG
rnacentral:rRNA from 1 species